GUGGGGAAUAUUGGACAAUGGGGGGAACCCUGAUCCAGCCAUGCCGCGUGUGUGAAGAAGGCCUUUUGGUUGUAAAGCACUUUAAGCGAGGAGGAGGCUACCGAGAUUAAUACUCUUGGAUAGUGGACGUUACUCGCAGAAUAAGCACCGGCUAACUCUGUGCCAGCAGCCGCGGUAAUACAGAGGGUGCAAGCGUUAAUCGGAUUUACUGGGCGUAAAGCGCGCGUAGGUGGCCAAUUAAGUCAAAUGUGAAAUCCCCGAGCUUAACUUGGGAAUUGCAUUCGAUACUGGUUGGCUAGAGUAUGGGAGAGGAUGGUAGAAUUCCAGGUGUAGCGGUGAAAUGCGUAGAGAUCUGGAGGAAUACCGAUGGCGAAGGCAGCCAUCUGGCCUAAUACUGACACUGAGGUGCGAAAGCACGGGGAGCAAACAGGAUUAGAUACCCGUGUAGUCC
rnacentral:rRNA from 1 species